UGGGUACUCCCUCUGUUCGGAAUUACUUGUCGCAAAAAUGGAUGUAUCUAGACUUAUUUUAGUUAUAGAUGCAUCCAUUUCCGAGACAAGUAAUUCCGAACGGAGGGAGUACUUG
rfam:Triticum aestivum genome assembly, contig: Triticum_aestivum_CS42_TGACv1_scaffold_146047_2BS